rnacentral:rRNA from 1 species
UUUUGGACAAUGGGCGCAAGCCUGAUCCAGCCAUUCCGCGUGAGUGAAGAAGGCCUUCGGGUUGUAAAGCUCUUUCGCAAGGGAAGAACCCCUUACUUUCUAAUAAAGAGUGAGGUUGACGGUACCUUGAUAAGAAGCACCGGCUAACUACGUGCCAGCAGCCGCGGUAAUACGUAGGGUGCGAGCGUUAAUCGGAAUUACUGGGCGUAAAGCGUGCGCAGGCGGCUUUGUAAGUCAGAUGUGAAAUCCCCGAGCUCAACUUGGGAACUGCGUUUGAAACUACAAGGCUAGAAUAUGUCAGAGGGGGGUAGAAUUCCACGUGUAGCAGUGAAAUGCGUAGAGAUGUGGAGGAAUACCAAUGGCGAAGGCAGCCCCCUGGGAUGAUAUUGACGCUCAUGCACGAA